CGAUCGUAAAUUGAGUGUGUUAAUUUGCGUUGUUUAAGUGUGGGAAGGGACGAGACACUAAAAAAAUGUGCACCAAUUUUUUAAAUUCAAUUUGGAAGAAAAGAAAUCAAUUUGUAAUGUUUGCGGAACCAAACUUAACACAAUAACCAAUAACCACAAAUUUAAGACGCCACUUAACAAUGAAGCAUAUGGACAUUUUCAAUGAGUGAAAUAAUUCUGGAUCUACAAAGUUAAAAGAAUGCGAAGAAAAACGAAAAAUAUCGUAUCAAACGAGUGAACGAGCAAUUGUUUCUUCUUUGAUCAAAAUUGUAACCACAAACGGAAAACCAUUCAAAUUUCUAGACAGUGAAGGGUUCAACGAGAUAAUGUAUCCAAUAUAUAAUGCCCUUGGCAUGAACCCUGUUACGUCUAGAAAUAUUAUGAAUUUUGUGUCAACCAAAGAACAGUUUGUAAAAGAAAAUAUAAGGGCACUUGCGAAAGGAAAGCUGGUGUCGCUGAAAAUCGACGUUGCCAGCAGAAUGAAUAAAGCCUAAAACCGAGAUUGUUGUGAAGACCUUGGGCAUGAUUGAUCUCGGGGAAUCUCACACUGGAAUAUAUAUAAAAAUCAAAAUUCUACAAAUCUUAGAUGAUUAUGGCUUGAUCAGAUUUACAGCAUUACGUCUGAUAAUGGACGAAACAUGAUAAAAGCCGUCCAGGUAUUAAAUGAUGCGACAGAGGAAUCCCUUUUUGAAGAAGACAUAGAAAGCGAGAAUCUUCUGAAAGAAUUGGGUUCUAUUGAACUGGCUAAUAUACACCUUGUGACAUGUGCAGCAAACACUCUGCAACUUGAGUAUUUGAUGUAAACAAAACAAAGGAGAUCGCCGAUAAAAUAAGUGCCUGUCGCACAUUAUGCAAAUCGCUGCGCACAGAAACAUAUAGUUGAGAAUGAAAAAAACAUACCAUCGCUCGAAGUUGCUACAAGGUUGAAUACGACGUAUUUAAUGCUAAAGAAAUUAUUGGACUUAAAGGAUUUCCUGGCAACGCAACCAAAUAUUUGUAUAGAGGCCGAUUGGGAUUGGAUCGAGACGUACAUUGACGCUUUCAGUGACACAUACCAGGCACACACACGAAAUGUUCCAGCGCUCGAGACUCCUGUGCAUGAAGAAAUGUUUGCUUCCACUGUCUCGUCAAUUCUAUCAACCGCAUUCUCAUCUGAAGAGAAGUCGCUGUUGUCGGCAUUUUUGUACGAUUUUAAGACAGUUUCAGAAAACAAAGAAGAUCCAGUUUCUACGAAACCUGCCAAAAUUUAUGCUGACAUCGAAAACUUCGACGUAAAAUUUGGUCGCUUGCCAUUAAAUUCCAAUAUAUUGGAUUUUUUUAAUGAUUUGAAACUUAGGAUGCCGCAUAUAGGUGCACUAGCGCAGGUUAUGCUGGCUACACCUGCAACGCAAGUCUCCGCCGAACGGGCAUUUUCAGCCCUACAUUUUAUAUUAAGUGAACGAAGAAGUUCGAUUAGUGCAAAAAAACUAAACUCCUUACUAGUUGUAAAGCUUAACACAUAAAUAUA